rnacentral:rRNA from 1 species
UGAGGGAAUAUUUGGGUCAACGGGCGAGAGCCUGAACCAGCCAAGUCGCGUGAGGGACGAAUGGUCUAUGGCCUGUAAACCUCUUUUGUCAAGGAAGAAUAAAUCGCACGGGUGCGAUCUUGCCAGUACUUGACGAAUAGGCAUCGGCUAACUCCGUGCCAGCAGCCGCGGUAAUACGGGGGAUGCGAGCGUUAUCCGGAUUUAUCGGGUUUAAAGGGCGCGUAGGCGGGACGUCAAGUCAGCGGUAAAAGACUGCAGCUAAACUGUAGCACGCCGUUGAAACUGGCGCCCUCGAGACGAGACGAGGGAGGCGGAACAAGUGAAGUAGCGGUGAAAUGCAUAGAUAUCACUUGGAACCCCGAUAGCGAAGGCAGCUUCCCAGGCUCGUUCUGACGCUGAUGCGCGAGAG